UGAAGCCCUUAUGGAAAGCAGCUGACCCAAGGCACUGAAGGGUCCAACUGGUAAAACCGCCUGCUUUCACCGCCUGUCCUGGGGCUGUGUUGACUUCUGCAGCGCAGGUCCUUCAUUUUUACACAAAGGGGAGCAAAUACACAGUUCACCGUAAAUAUACGCAACAUUCAACAUAGUGUGAGUUAUGCCUACUUUACCUUGGUAUAACUGUGACCGCAUCAGGGAGUUUCAACAUGGCAGUGAAUGCACCGCGAGAAAAAGGUUUGGGACAAUUUUAAACGCAAUUUAGAAAGAAUUCUCCCAAUUCCAAUUAAAGCUUGCUUAAAAUAUUUGAUAGUGUCAUUAAAUCCAGCCUAAUGCACCAAGUGGUAUUGAGGUACGUGGUUCACUCGGCCAUCAUACUUUUCAUGUAGACGUUAGCAGAUACGUUUUACACAAACACAGGGAAAAACACUAGCAAAUGUGGGUGAAGAGUCAGACCCACUGAUAGUUAACAUUCAAAAGUGAGCACUCAGUGUUUUUAAUUAUCCCAGAUCACCCGCCAAAACAAAAGAGCUGAGCCCAGACAACAGUUCCCCACAUCAGAUAUCACUUGAAGAACCCUGUUGGAAAUAUUGGAACGAUAGAAACUAAAAUCCAAAGUAGAUUAAAAAGAGAUUAUGAGCGACCAGAAUAUCUCCCUCCUGUCAGAUAGCAGAGAUAAAUCCUGACCAAGUGCAGCCUCGGUGGCCAAAAAACUGGCUGUUGUAAAAAGGGAUGACAACAAGAAACACGGCAACCAAAAGACAAACAGAAUAAAUGGUCAAUGUUCAACAGGUGAGGCUGAGACAAAAGGUGCUCUUAUUUCUAAUCACUUUGACAAUUUCAACUUGGUCUGUUCUGUGCUCAUUAUAUUGCUUGUCAGCCUGUCCAAUGGGACGGAUCCCUCCUGAGUUGUUCCUUAUUUAGGACAGAGGGUGUCUUACACUUUACCUAUACGUUGUAAAGCCCCCUGAAACGCUGUGAUUUCUGAUUUUGGGCUAUAUAAAAAUAAAAGUGACUCGUUUAGACCUCAGCAAUUGUCGCAUCUUCAAGUCUUUUUUGUGUAUAUGUGUCAUAAAAUGAAAAGUUCACAUCAAAUCAUGUCCUUGUAUCAGACAUUCUGUCACUGAAAUGUAUGAUUUGUGAUUUUUGAAUGAAUGUGUGAUUUUUGUCACUCUAUUCUGUACAUGUGGCAUCUACUGCAUGUCCUGGGAGAGGGAUCCCUCUUCUGUGCGGCUCUCCUCGAGGUGUCUUCUAUCCUCUUUUUUUCCCCUCCGUUAAAAAGUUUUUCAUCUAAGAACAGUGGAUGUGGUUCACUGUACAGAUUGUAAACCCAACUGAAGAAAAAGUUGCUAUGCAAAAAUGGAUCUGAUAUCUGUCAAAAUAGCUGCAGUGUGAUCUUUUGACCAUAUUCGCACGCAUUUUGACACUUCGGCAACGUUGCCCCUGACGUUUUAAUGCAGAUAAAACCCAUUUCAAUUGAACUGACACACACACACGCGCACACACACACACACACACACACACAAAGUCACAUAUAGGUGAACAGUAAAUUUAGGCAGCUCUUACUGAGAGGAUUUGCUGAAUUUUGAACAACUGUUAAUAAUAUUGCUGUUUAGGUGUCCAAAUAUUAUGUUGCCUUAGAAUUUCCUUUUAGCUUGAUUUAGUUAUUUCCAGGCUAAUAAAGUCCUUAAAUUGUAUCUUCAAAAAAAAAGAAAGAAAAGAAAGAAAGAAGAAGAAAAAAGAGAGAGUGAAAGGGAGAGAGAGAGAGAGAGAGAGCGCGCGCAGGGGGUCCUUGGGACUCUCCCGGUUGACAGCUCCUGUCUCUGCCUGUAACGACUUAUUUAUUCAGGGAUAAUUAAUCAGGCGCAGUUUUGUGCGGGAUGAUUAAUGCGCUUUGUCAUCUGUACUGCAGCGGUGAGAACACAGUACAGUGUGCCUCAGCUGCCUCUGAUGUAAAGGGGACGUCCUGUCCACAGAGCAGUGAGAGGAGAGGAGAGGAGCUCGGCGCUGCUGCUGCAUGAUGGAGGCCUUCUCUUCCCAACUGAGGAUCUGCUGCUUUCACCACGCUGGGACCACUGAGGGAGGUCUGCUGCUGCUGCUGCUGCCCAUCUGAUAAGACCUGAGAAAGUCUCCAUUAUUAUAUUCCCGUCUCUCUGGUGGAUUUAUGUGUUCGGUCAGUCAGCGGCUUUCACGUCUCCACCGGCCUGUCGAGGGAAGACGUGGCCGGGGCAAGCGCUUCUUCCUGCGGUCACGCUGGUCUCACGACGCCACCUGGUGACCGGCGUUGUUACUACAAGUCUGAGGAACUAAACUACCGCCCGUUAUGUAUACGCUUUCUGUGGGUUAUGAGGUGUUCUGAUAAAACCGUGAUAAAAAAAAAAAAUAAAAUAAAAAAAAACUUUUUGUUAUAAUAGCCUUAACACAUUUACCGCCAGUAAGUACACCAUGUCAAAUGAAUCACUGCUGAAUGGACAGAAUUUUACACAGUUUUCACAGAAAAGCUUUGUUUGAGGAGCUUCAAGUAAAAAAUGUAAAGUGAUGAAGCAAGAGGUAAAGCAGCUUAAUACAUGGUAAAAACACAGCAACCUGUUUAAGGCACUGAGUAUCCAAUGUGUUUGGCCUGAUCAUGGCUUUUCUUGAUAAGACAGCAUUGAGAAGUGACAGGAGGCAGGAUGGAGGGGGGUGGCAUGCAGCAGACUCAAACCAGCGAGGACACAGCCUCUGUACAUGGGGCACCUGCUGCACCAACUGAGCUACCGGGGCACCCAGGGGAUCAUUUUAGAGUCGCACACUUGAUCCAGGCUGAUCAAGUGCAGAUCAACAGGUUUUGGACCCGAAAGCAGGUGACAGGAGAGGCUUCCAUGAUUUAAUGCAGAACCUUACAAGCAGACCAGUAGGCAGGCAGGCAGGCAGGAAAGUGGACAGAAAACAGGUCUCAAUAUCAAAAAACCCAAAUACUGAAAACAGUAGCAGCAGGGAUAAGGUGAAACAGGUGUGUGGAGCUUUUUCACAGCAGCCAUUUUGACAUCAAGCAGCAGGGGUAAACACAGGUGUAACCAAUGAUACUAACAGAGAUUGUGUUCCAUUCUGCAUAAACAGAGUCACGGUGCCGCUGUUGUGCAUGUUGGCUCAUCAGAAAAGUCUCCGCUACACUAACUGGAACUGAACCUUCAUCGAUUGUCAUCAAUCAAACCUGAGUUUGCCUUCUGUUUCAUGUCAAGAUGGCUGCCGUGAAAAAGGUACUGGGAUUGCACCUGAGGGGGCGUGUCCUGUCAGACAGGAGCAGUUUUCAACGCCAUCUAUUUUUCUUUCUUUUUUUUUUUUUUUCAUCUUUUCUCUGAUGAUGUCACUAUGAUGAUGGCAACGCUAGCAACCGAUAUUAAACUAUUAAU